rnacentral:rRNA from 1 species
CAAAAACAUUUUUUAAUGAAAUAAUAUUAAAUAAAGUCUGCUCAAUGAAAUAAAUAGCCGCAGAAAAUUUACUGUGCUAAGGUAGCAUAAUCACUUGCCUUCUAAUUGAAGACUAGAAUGAACGGCUUAACAAUUAAAUAAUUUUUUUAAUAUAUAAAAAUAAAUUUCAUUAAGCAUAAAAAUAUGCUUAUCUAUAUAAUAGACGACAAGACCCCAUCGAACUUAACUGAAGUUAAGCUGGGGAAGCUAAUUAAUUAUCACUGUAAACCUAAUCAUAAAAUCAACACCCAUUAAAUGAAAUAAUUAAGUUACCGCGGGGAUAACAGCGUAAUAUUUCUCUAAAGCUCUAAUUUAAAGGAAAGAUUACGACCUCGAUGUUGAAUUAAUUUAUCUUACUAGCGCAAAAGCUAAAAAAGUAAGUCUGUUCGACUUUUUAAAAAUUACAUGAUCUGAGUUAAAACCGGAGA